rnacentral:rRNA from 1 species
CGGCGGACGGGUGAGUAACGCGUGGGUAACUACCCUGUACACACGAUAACAUACCGAAAGGUAUGCUAAUACGGGAUAAUAUAUUUGAGAGGCAUCUCUUGAAUAUCAAAGGUGAGCCAGUACAGGAUGGACCCGCGUCUGAUUAGCUAGUUGGUAAGGUAACGGCUUACCAAGGCGACGAUCAGUAGCCGACCUGAGAGGGUGAUCGGCCACAUUGGAACUGAGACACGGUCCAA